CCAAAUGCUGAUAUAUCCAGCGGCAUUCAAUAUGACCACUGGACCACUGCACUGGUCAUUACUUCAGCGUUUCAGAGCGAAUGAUAAUCAAUUAUACGUUGCCUGCAUAUCACCGGCUCGUGUUCCUUAAGCAAGUUACGUCGCAUGGGGACAUACACAGUUGACCAAUCCCUGGGGAAAGAUUCUUUACGAUUUGGAAACUCAAGAGAAUAUGGCAGUCACCGAUAUCGAUCUAAAAGUUGUUGAGGAAGUAAGGGCUCAGAUACCUACAUUUUCUCAGAGACGUACAGAUUUGUACGACACUGUCUGUAAGAAGGAGUAACUCUACACUAAAACAGAAAAUGUUUUUUUAUAAUAUUUCUACUACGAUAUCCUUUUUUUGUGAAUUAUUACUAAUUUCUUAUCAUUUGUACUAAAUGAAUGACUCAAUUAAGAAAACCAAAACGUUAUAAAUAAUAAUCUGUAUAUCUUGUGUAUCAACAUGUAAUUGGAUAUUAUAAUAAUAUAGGAAUGCUAUAAUAAUAUAGGAUAAUAAUAUAGGAGAAUAGUAAUAUAGAAAAAAACUACAUGCUUUUAAACACCUUUAAUAUCGAUCACAUAAAUUGUUAUAAUUCACAAUGAUUACGCAUACAUAAAAGACCCCUUGAUAGUAAAAUUUACGAUCAAAAGGCAAUUACGUAUCGUUUAACAACAUUUAAUUUAUAACACCUUUUAAACAUUUAGACAGAUUAACACAUAACACUUCUUAUAUAUAAACAUCAAUUCGAAGUUAUCAGCUUGGAGAAAUUGGUCGAUUAAUACCUGUAGAUUGUCUGUCUCGAUGAAAGACUUAAAGAGAGCAAAAACAUGAUAAUGCCGCUAAUAUAAUAUUCCUUCUUUCUUGUAUCUGUCUGCCUCUCAGGUCGUUUUACUAAUUACAAUAAGUAAUUUCGCCUUCUUUGCGCUCUCUUUUAACGCAUUCGAGACCGAAAGAAAUUCAUAUCAGUCAGUAGGCAAGGGUAUAGUAUACAUAUUUUAUAUAUAACUUAUGUAGUAAUGUAUAUAUCAUGUUAAUUUCAUAUUUUUUUCAAUAUAGAAUUAUUAUAUAUAUAUAUGACUGUACAUAAUACAUUAUAGAAUAACAUAGUAUAUAAUUUUAUAUUUUAAAAAUAUGAGGCAUACUAUUUAAGAUUGUCAUCGAUUUAAAAUCAAAGUAUGAAAAGGAUACCCUGGAGAGAGUAAAACACAGAAUCAUUCUAACUAAACAUUCAGAUCGUACCGACACCUAGGUAUCGUCUUACAAUUAAAUCUCGGUCUCGAAUGGAUUAAAAUGAAAUACAUACUUGCAGCUUCAACAUCUUCAAUAUCGAGAAGAUUCAAACUUUACAAAUAAAUGUAAAUUGCGAUGUAAAACAACGCGAUGUAAAAAGGGAAAAAGGAGGAAAGAAGGAACAGGGAAGCAAAGAGAAGAAACGAAUUUUUCAUUUUCUCUUGCCAGGAAUAUAAGAUGCUAAGUAAUCUUCCUAAGUAAUCUCCUCCAGCUUUUUCUAGUUUGAUCAAUAAUUAUUAGUACAUGUUAGGAAAACAAAUAGAAUUUUUGUUCUCAAGCGAGGUAUAAUCUAAAUUUUGUAUGUACACAAAAAUGUUAAAUAUCUGUAAUAAACAUGGUAUAAUCAA